UGUUGUUUUUCUUAUGUGGCCCACCCAAGAGUAAUGCCAUGGAUCAAGCAAUCUAGAUCAAUCAUCAUAUUCACAGAUAAGGGGCUAGAGAUGGGCCACAUUAUAAUCGUUGGUGGUGCAAAUCAUAAUGCUAGCAUUCCUUAAAUGGUGGAGAAUCUAAUUGAUUGGAUACCUGCACAUUAUCUUAACCAUAGAUUAAUCGCAUAACUUUUGGACAAUCCAGAUGGAUAAAUGCAUUCUGGGGAACCUUAACAUAGUUCAUCACAUUGUGGACAUUGGAAAACUCAUACAGGUAUACGGAUAUGAGAUUUCUGAAAUUUACUUAUGCAUUUUCUACUUCCUUAGGUGGAAGGUGCGACAGACGAAGGCGGUAGAAGCCCAACUAUAUGGGACACUUUCUGUGAAAAGCCUGGCAAAAUCCCUGAAGGGGCUGACUGGAGAACCUCGAAUGAUUCAUAUGAUCUCUAUAUGGAAGACAUAAAAAUAAUGAAGAAAAUGGGUUUCGACUCUUACAGAUUUUGCAUCUCAUGGUCCAGAAUAUUACCAAAAGGAACGAAGGAAGGUGGUAUAAGUCCUGAUGGCAUUAAUUGUUACAAAAAACUGAUAGCGGGUCUGCAAGAUAAUGGUA